UACGUAGGGGGCUAGCGUUGCUCGGAAUUACUGGGCGUAAUGGGCGCGUAGGCGGAUAGUUUAGUCAGAGGUGAAAGCCCAGGGCUCAACCUUGGAAUUGCCUUUGAUACUGACUGGCUUGAGUACGGGAGAGGUGAGUGGAACUCCGAGUGUAGAGGUGAAAUUCGUAGAUAUUCGGAAGAACACCAGUGGCGAAGGCGACUCACUGGCCCGUUACUGACGCUGAGGCGCGAAAGCGUGGGGAGCAAACAGG
rnacentral:rRNA from 1 species